UACAGAGGGGGCAAGCGUUAUUCGGAAUUAUUGGGCGUAAAGCGUGCGCAGGCGGUUUUGUAAGCCAGAUGUGAAAUCCCCGGGCUUAACCUGGGAAUGGCAUUUGGGACUGCAAGGCUGGAGUGCGGCAGAGGAGACUGGAAUUCCUGGUGUAGCAGUGAAAUGCGUAGAUAUCAGGAGGAACACCGAUGGCGAAGGCAGGUCUCUGGGCUGACACUGACGCUCAUGCACGAAAGCGUGGGGAGCAAACAGG
rnacentral:rRNA from 1 species